GAGACACCCUUCUGGGGCAAGACUUGCUUCAGUGGGGCUUUGGCACUCAUUGCGUCUGCCCCCUGAGUGUGUCCCU
rfam:Myotis brandtii contig229147, whole genome shotgun sequence.